UGGGGGAAGGACCACGCCUCCCUACUCCCGGGCCAAUCCCAUGCCAGGAAGUAGGGGGGUGGGACCCUUGGGGCACACUGGGGGAUCCAGUUCUCCUGGCCACAAUAUUUUAAAACUGGCUCCUGCCAUUUCAGUUCCAGCUCCCAUUUUCUGUCUCCUGGAUACAACGGCAACCCAAUACCAGCACCUUGAAUACUACCUUGGAUAUAGAAGAUCGUCAAUAAAAACUUGUUGAAUUAAAGACAAAGAAUCCCACUGAGCAAUGUGUACACCAUUAAGGCAAGAGGAGUCCUACUUCAACUGGCAGCAUAUUUUAAUCUUUGACAAGAUGGCAAAUAUGGCUAUAGCUCUGAGAUUUUGCCAUUUUACCAGCCUAAGGCAUGGAGAAUCCCCUGCCAGAUUGACAAACUGGGAGCCCUGGAUACUAAAUUUAUCCAGAAUCCAUUUGGGGCAGCAUAUUGGUGGGAAGACCUCAGAGAAAGGAAGCUUUUCUCCAUUACUGCAUUACUCACAAGACCAGGAUGAGGCCAAAAUGUGGGUUCCUCCAUUAUGCCCUAGAGAAUUUUUCAUUCUGGACGAUCAUUGUUGCCUUGGAAUUCACUGAGAGAUAAGUAACUUCUUGUCCCUGUCACUAGAUGUUUCAUCACAGAAUCUCCAUUUAAGAACUGUGCCCAUUCCAGUUGUCUCUUCAUUUCCUGACAGGAUAUAAUCUAGACUACAUCUGUCCCCAGAAUGAAUACCUUCUCUUUCUCAUUUUUCAACUUUCUGUUAUGUGAUAUAUUUCCCAAAAAGAAUGGCAAACUCUUUGAGGGUAGAAAAUUGCCUUUCCUUUUGCUCAUAUUUGUAUUCUCGUCAAAUAGCACAGUGCUUGACAUAUAGUGAAUUCUAAAUAAAUGCUUGUAUACUAUAAAAUAGGGGUAAUAA
ensembl:lncRNA